GCUACAUUGAUCGUGUGUUGGUCGUACGGUAUCGCACGAAUUUGUUCGUACACGCGGAAUCAUUUAACACUUUAACCGCCAGCCAAAUUUGAAUGACAUAACCUUUCGUAUCAAUUUAAAAAUUAAUAUUCUCUGUAACAUAACGAAUAAAUCGAAUUUUCUUGGGUCUUUGAGGUACAAGAAGAUUAAGAGAGCAAUUGGCCUGAAAAAUCUUGAUUUUGCAAUUUCCGUUUCUUUAGGAAAAUUGCUUUGAUUGUAUGAUUAAUCUGUUGGACGUCAAUUCAGAGAAUCAACGUGUUAAGAAUUUGUUUCUUUGCACACUUAUCAAUCGAAACACUGAUGCAUCGAUGAAUGACGAUUGCUAAGAUGUCGUAUAGUAAUCGAACGAGGGUGGAAAUUGAUGUGUCCUAGUGUGAGAGUCUCAUAGUCAACGUGAAUAUACGAAGAUAUCGUAAAUUACGUAUUUGGAUAGUAGUGUCCAUUUGAGUUCCUCUGUUUGCUGUUUAAGUUAAACGACCGUUUCAAACUCCUUGUCGUAGCUGCAUGUGUAUACGAUAUUAUAUGGAAAGCUUAAUUUAAUAUAAAUGCAUAGGUGCUUACUUAGUCACAAUAUAGACCAUCUAUUGGAAUGUUUUUUAAAGAAUUAUUUAUACUAUGUUCAAAAUCAGCAAGAUUUGAAUUCUGAAAAAAGGAAAGAAAUCAGGGGGAACUGAAAUCGCCGUGUAUACGGAUAAAAAUAAGGGACGAUGUCCCAGGAGUACCACAAUCCCAGGAUUUGUUUGCUACCACCUACCCCCAGUAAACGUGCUUUCAUCUAACGGAGUCAAUUCCGAUGGGGAAACGCGAAGGAUUCACGUUUUGUGUCCUGACGAAUAUGGUCAGGACUCGAAUUAAUAUUUACGAACGUCGAAGGACACCCUCCGGUCUGUAUCCGUGCCUCAGUUCCCAUUUUUCAAACACGACCUGCCUCGGUGAGUUAUGCUUUUAACCCUUCCCUGAAUCAACUUUAUGUCAGACCGAGAGAAUGUAUUCGGUAAAAAGUAACAUGAAAAUGACUGUAAAUCUUGUACAAUAAUUAGCAACAUAAAAAGCCGUUUUUUAAUUUAAUUUUAUUAACUAUUUUAAAUGAUUUGAUUCUAAUUUGCGCAGGAUGUGGAAUUUACUUAUAGUGGAACGACAUUUAUCUGAACAUCAAUUAGUCUUUUCAAUCUGAUUAUUAGAAAAAUCAUUUAUUCAAACGAAUUUUGCCUCCUAAUUAAUUCGGAUAACCGUUGUUGUACUGUAAUUUUAAGAGAAAAUAAUAGAAAUUAAU